rnacentral:rRNA from 1 species
GCGAGACCUUCGGGUCUAGCGGCGGACGGGUUAGUAACGCGUGGGAACGUGCCCUUCUCUGCGGAAUAGCCACUGGAAACGGUGAGUAAUACCGCAUACGCCCUUCGGGGGAAAGAUUUAUCGGAGAAGGAUCGGCCCGCGUUAGAUUAGAUAGUUGGUGGGGUAACGGCCUACCAAGUCUACGAUCUAUAGCUGGUUUUAGAGGAUGAUCAGCAACACUGGGACUGAGACACGGCCCAGACUCCUACGGGAGGCAGCAGUGGGGAAUCUUAGACAAUGGGCGCAAGCCUGAUCUAGCCAUGCCGCGUGUGUGAUGAAGGUCUUAGGAUCGUAAAGCACUUUCGCCAGGGAUGAUAAUGACAGUACCUGGUAAAGAAACCCCGGCUAACUCCGUGCCAGCAGCCGCGGUAAUACGGAGGGGGUUAGCGUUGUUCGGAAUUACUGGGCGUAAAGCGCGCGUAGGCGGAUUGGAAAGUUGGGGGUGAAAUCCCGGGGCUCAACCCCGGAACUGCCUCCAAAACUAUCAGUCUAGAGUUCGAGAGAGGUGAGUGGAAUUCCAAGUGUAGAGGUGAAAUUCGUAGAUAUUUGGAGGAACACCAGUGGCGAAGGCGGCUCACUGGCUCGAUACUGACGCUGAGGUGCGAAAGUGUGGGGAGCAAACAGGAUUAGAUACCCUGGUAGUCCACACCGUAAACGAUGAAUGCCAGUCGUCGGGCAGUAUACUGUUCGGUGACACACCUAACGGAUUAAGCAUUCCGCCUGGGGAGUACGGUCGCAAGAUUAAAACUCAAAGGAAUUGA